CCUACGGGAGGCAGCAGUGGGGAAUAUUGCACAAUGGGGGAAACCCUGAUGCAGCGACGCCGCGUGAGUGAAGAAGUAUCUCGGUACGUAAAGCUCUAUCAGCAGGGAAGAAAAUGACGGUACCUGACUAAGAAGCCCCGGCUAACUACGUGCCAGCAGCCGCGGUAAUACGUAGGGGGCAAGCGUUAUCCGGAUUUACUGGGUGUAAAGGGAGCGUAGACGGCGGUGCAAGCCCGAUGUGAAAGGCGGGGGCGCAACCCCGGGACUGCAUUGGGAACUGUCCGGCUGGAGAGCCGGAGGGGUAGGCGGAAUUCCUGGUGUAGCGGUGAAAUGCGUAGAUAUCAGGAGGAACACCGGUGGCGAAGGCGGCUUGCUGGACGGCGACUGACGUUGAGGCUCGAAAGCGUGGGGAGCGAACAGGAUUAGAUACCCCGGUAGUC
rnacentral:rRNA from 1 species